GGUGGAGAUGAAGAAGGUGGUGGUGGAGACUUGUAGAUGUAAGGGGGAGGAGGGGAGGGUGAUGGUGGUGGUGGGGAUUUGUAGUAGUAAGGUGGAGGAGGUGAAGGAGAAGGAGGUGG